rnacentral:lncRNA from 1 species
GCGGGUUAGAGUGGAUUGUAGAUCCGUUGUGCAUUGACGUAGUUCGUUAACUCGGACAUGGUAGUGGAGUUGAGCUGUUGCCUUUUUGAUGUUGAGUUGUUGUCUUUUAUUUGAAUAGAACACAUACAUUGCAUUCUGAGAUGGACUCAUUGUUUGUAAAAUGGUGGUUGGGUUUGUUUCGAAUUUCGAAAUGUACUCAUCAGUAUUAUUAGGAACACUGGUAUUUAGUGUUUAGUGUAAAUUAGUAGCAU